UCGGACGGGUGAGUAACGCGUGAGAAUCUGCCUCUUAGUCGGGGACAACAGUUGGAAACGACUGCUAAUACCGGAUGAGCCGAAAGGUAAAAGAUUUAUCGCUAAGAGAGGAGCUCGCGUCUGAUUAGCUAGAUGGUGAGGUAAAGGCUUACCAUGGCGACGAUCAGUAGCUGGUCUGAGAGGAUGAGCAGCCACACUGGGACUGAGACACGGCCCAGACUCCUACGGGAGGCAGCAGUGGGGAAUUUUCCGCAAUGGGCGCAAGCCUGACGGAGCAAUACCGCGUGGGGGAGGAAGGCUCUUGGGUUGUAAACCUCAAAACUUAGGGAAGAAAAAAAUGACGGUACCUAAUAUAAGCAUCGGCUAACUCCGUGCCAGCAGCCGCGGUAAUACGGAGGAUGCAAGCGUUAUCCGGAAUCAUUGGGCGUAAAGCGUCCGUAGGUGGCAUUUCAAGUCUGCUGUCAAAGACCGAAGCUCAACUUCGGGCCGGCGGUGGAAACUGAAAAGCUAGAGUGAAGUAGGGGUAGAGGGAAUUCCUAGUGUAGCGGUGAAAUUCGUAGAGAUUAGGAAGAACACCAGUGGCGAAGGCGCUCUACUGAC
rnacentral:rRNA from 1 species